GAUGAACGCUGGCGGCGUGCCUAAUACAUGCAAGUCGAGCGAACGGACGAGGAGCUUGCUCCUCUGACGUUAGCGGCGGACGGGUGAGUAACACGUGGAUAACCUACCUAUAAGACUGGGAUAACUUCGGGAAACCGGAGCUAAUACCGGAUAAUAUAUUGAACCGCAUGGUUCAAUAGUGAAAGACGGUUUUGCUGUCACUUAUAGAUGGAUCCGCGCCGCAUUAGCUAGUUGGUAAGGUAACGGCUUACCAAGGCAACGAUGCGUAGCCGACCUGAGAGGGUGAUCGGCCACCCUGGAACUGAGACACGGUCCAGACUCCUACGGGAGGCAGCAGUAGGGAAUCUUCCGCAAUGGGCGAAAGCUUGACGGAGCAACGCCGCGUGAGUGAUGAAGGUCUUCGGAUCGUAAAACUCUGUUAUUAGGGAAGAACAAAUGUGUAAGUAACUAUGCACGUCUUGACGGUACCUAAUCAGAAAGCCACGGCUAACUACGUG
rnacentral:rRNA from 1 species